ensembl:lincRNA
NNNCUUCCUGAGAUGUAAGCAAUAAAGCUUUGCCGUAGAAGGAUCUGGUUGUCCGAGUAUGUUUUGCUGGCGAAACAUUACAAGGACAAGAUCUAUCUGCAUUUUGGCUGCCAUGAGGAGUUACUGUGGCUUCAAGCUGUUGUUUCAACUGAGCAACUUUUCCAAGUGGUGGUGGUAUUAGAGCUUCUGGACACUCAAAGAAGUAAGGGGAGGACGUUGCCCUCUACUCCGCAUGCUGAAGGAUAUGUUAAAAGAAUUCCAGAGAAAGGCACAUCUACAUAUUUUGUUGUAUCUGGCACUUCAAAAGGUCUCUGGAGACUGAGACCUGACUGGAAAGGUCCCCAAGUCAACAUGGCAGAGACUCUGAUUAAUAUGGAUGCUUUCAAGCUUCAGUGAGACCUCUUCUUUCAACAGAAUUCAGAGGGAAGCUGAAGUACACUGCCACAAGCCUUGUGAAAGACAGCCUCUGCCCCCUCCCCAGCUGACAGGACCAGACGGAAUCUCUUUGGGUGCUGGAGAGGUUGGUGAGACGCUGCAAGAAUGAGGCUCCUGAUCCAGUUGCCCCUGUGGAUGUGGUGGAUGAUCCUGCAAGCACAAACAAUGGAGCCGAGAUGGGAGAUCCUUUCCGUGUUCCAGAAGCCGAUACCAGCUCGACA